GGUUAAAUUAUGAAUUGAGUUUUUGAAAAGUUCUUUGAACUGAAUAAAAGUUGUCAGUUGGCGAAUAACGAGAUUCGGUUAACUGUUCAGCUGUUCAGUUGUUAAUAAGGUUAAAGUUAUUUAUAACUUGCGGGUUAAAGCAAGUACAAGUUCGGAGUCAUUAUUUGUUGACAUUCACGUGAGUGACUCAAAUCUAUGACUUGAACUUAAGGACAGUAAAUUUAAGUAGUAAAGCGUUAACAAGAGAAAUCCAUAUGCAAGCC
rnacentral:lncRNA from 1 species